AGGAGGCGAACGCCCGGAUCCAAGUUCUCCCAGACAUUUGCAGGAGUGAGCCAUUUGACGCUUCCCCACUUUGCACAGAUAGCACUUUGGAGACUUCUGCAAGAUCAGAAAUGGGCCAAAUGACAAUGUCAUUCAGGAGGUCAAGAUGCUGCUGUUCAGAGUGUCUACAAGAUCACCUAUGACAUUUCAGACUUAAAACCAUACCUCUACCUGGAUUAGGACCCUCUUCCACUACUCCAUUUUCUGGAGUUUUCUUCCUGUGAUGCCCCAUAAUGCCCAGAUGGCUAUUCUGGGAAAAGGUAAUUUCCCUGGAAUGGGAAGAAACAAGCCCCUAGAUCCUC
rnacentral:lncRNA from 1 species